AUGAAGGAAGCAGAUUUGAGUCCACAAGCUGGAACGCUGGGAUAUCUGUCCAAGGGGGGAAUCAUGGAAUGCCACCAGUCCAUUCAUAGCAGGAAAGAACCAAAUGCAAAGAUAACCCUGAUUUCAGGCAUAGUCAUUUUCAGAAAGCAUACUAAACAUAUGCAUGGAGAAAAAAGGAGUCAUCUGUGGUGCCGGGGAAGGCUUCGCAUUAUGUGCUGA
rnacentral:lncRNA from 1 species